CUGGUUUCUGCAGUCUGAGCUGCCCAUCUUCUUUUCUGUGAGAUGGGGUCAUAGCAUUCUCCUGAUGACUCUAGUGAAGAUGAAUAGACACAAAGCACUUGGGCCCUGUCUCAAAGAACAUAGUAAAUAUUCGCUCAGUGGCAGCCACACUCAUUCUUACUCUGGGCUUAUAGUCUGAUCGCUUUUCAAUGGAAACUUCAGUACUUCAACUGCAGGGCGAUGACCACCAUUUAUUAGAAAGUUUUAUUUUAAAACAUCCAUACUAAAUAUUUUAAAAUAAAAAUAAACUUGCAAAUCAAGUCUUUGAUUCUACUAUGACACACUAAUUAAGACUAUUCCACAGGAGCCCAAUGGAACAACAACAGCAGCAGCAGCAACAACAACAACCACAACAACAAAUUUUCUACUCUUUCACACUGCAGCCCUUCGGGCACUGGAGCCUUUAUUUCUGGUCCUGACUAAGUCUGGAAAGCUAUGUCUGUUGUCUCUGCUUGCAUUUUGGUGGUGGUGGGGAUCUUCUCGGCUGUGUUUACAUUGGAUGAAUUGAAUGCCUAUAGGAUACAUAUAUUUCACAUUUUUUUUUUGCUAAGUUAUAAUUGUUUUCUCUCAUGAUAAAUACUCUGCUGCUACCCCAGAAACCACACCUUCUGUCUUUUUCUCUGAUAGUACUGGGAUUGAACCUAUGGUGCUAUGCAAUUGACACAGCGUGUACCUUGAAUCAGAGCCCCAGCCCUCCUGGGAGUCUAGUCCUGUGUCUCUUUACUCCAUGGAUAUACAGAAGGUGUCUCCUCUCCAGAAGGAUCAUUUCUGCUUUGGUGCCUGCUGCGUGUGCUGAGCGUCUGGGCUGUAGGCUUCCUGGUGUCUUCUCCCUUGACAUCUUCUUCAGCCCAAGCAGGGAGUAGCAGUGUUUGAAGUGUUUGAGAUUCAGAGGCAGAUGGAUGCAUUCCUGGGAGGGAGGCCUUGCGAGCUGGCUCAAACAGGCUGGAUCUGCGGUCCUUUCUCCUCC
rnacentral:lncRNA from 1 species